rnacentral:rRNA from 1 species
GAAUCUUCCACAAUGACCGAAAGGUUGAUGGAGCGACGCCGCGUGCAUGAAGAAGCCCUUCGGGGUGUAAAAUGCUUUUAUGUGGGACGAAACAAUGACGGUACCACAAGAAUAAGGGGCUGCUAACCUCGUGCCAGCAGCAGCGGUAAUACGAGGGCCCCAAGCGUUAUCCGGAUUUAUUGGGCGUAAAGGGUCCGUAGGCGGUCUAUUGCAUCUCCUGUUAAAUCCCAAGGCUUAACCUUGGAACUGCGGGAGAGAUGGGUAGACUAGAGGCCGGUAGAGGCAAGCGGAAUUGUUGGUGUAGGGGUUAAAUCCGUUAAUAUCAGCAGGAACACCAAAUGCGAAGGCAG